ACCUCCUGCUCGACUCACCAGAACCACCUGCCGGAGACGCAAAAAUCACCUGCCGUCUACGCCACAACCAGGUCUUGAACACUUCGCAAUCACCUGCCGGACUUGCUGGAACCACCUGCUGGUCAUGCCAAAAUGACCUGACAACUACGCCGGAACCUCUCGGCGGACACUGCAGAAACACCCGUCGGGCCGGCCGGAACGACAUCUCAGACGUGACAGAACCAUGUGCAUGAGAUGCCGGAACCACACCCCAGACAGACAGAAACCACCUACCAGACAUGCCUGAACCACCUGCCAAGCACGCAGGAACCUCCUGGUCGACUCACCAGAACCACCUGCCGGAGACCCAAAAAUCACCUCCCGUCUACGCCACAACCAGUUGGUGAACACUUCGCAAUCACCUUCCGGGCUUGCUGGAACCACGUGCCGGGCAUGCCGGAACCACCUCUCAGAGGUGCCAGAACCACAUGCCGGAGACUCCGGAAUCACCUGCCGGGCAUGCCGGAACCAUCUCUCAGACGUGCCACAACCAUGUGCAGGAGAGACCAGAAGCACCUGCCGAGCGCGCCGGAAGCACCUGCUGGACAUGCCGGAACCACCUGCCGGACAGGCCAAAAUCAUAUGCCAGCUACGCCAAAACCACUUGGUGGACACCCCAAAAUCACCUUGCGGGCAUGCCAGAACCACGUCCUGGACAGACGGCAAACACCUGCCGGAGAUGCCGGAACCACCUGCCCAGCACGCCGGAACCACCUGCUCGACUCACCAGAGCCACCUGCCGGACACACCAGAAACACCUGCGGGGUACGCCAGAACCACUUGGAGGAUUCUCCGGGAUCACCUGCCGGGCAUGCCGGAACCACCUCUCAGACGUGCCAGAACCAUGUGCCAGACAUGCCGGGAAAGCCUGCCGAGUAUGCCGGAACCACCUGCUCCACUCCCCAGAACCACCUGCUUGACACGCCAAAAUCACCUGCCGGCUACGCCACAACCACUCGGCAGACACUCCGGAACCACCUCCACGACAGACUGGAACCACCUGCCGGACACGCCGGGAACACCUGCUUGACUCGCCACAACCACCUGCCGGACACGCCAGAAUCACCAGCCGGCUACGCCAGCACCACUUGUUGGACACUCCAGAAUCACCUGCCGGACAUGCUGGAACCACCUCUCAGAGGUGCCACAACCACAUGCUGGAGACGGCGGAAGCACCUGGCGAGUUUGCCGGAAGUUCCUGAACCACUCCCCAGAACCACCUGCCGGACAGGCCGAUAUCACCUGCCGGCUAUGCCAGAACCACUUGGCGGACACUCCAGAAUCACCUGCCAGGCAUGCCAGCACAAACUCUCAGAAGUGCCAGAAGCACGUGCCGGACAGGCCGGAACCAUCUCCCGGACAGACCGGAAACACAGGAAACACUCGCCGGAACCACCUGCUUGACUCA
rnacentral:lncRNA from 1 species